CAGUGUCUUCAGUCUUGGUCCCAUGCAUACACAGAGCUCUGCUGUCCCGCCACCGGGGCCUUCCAAAUACCACCAGAAGGUCUGAAUCCUAGGAUGACUAUGGUUUAGGUUCAAGCUGGAAGCCCUUCUGCUCAACUAAGGAAAUGAUUCAGAAUCAUGCAUUAAGUUUGAAUCAUCCCAGUAGGCCUGUGGCCAUCUGCUCAUACUUGCAAGGAAAGAGACAAAUUGUGGUUUUGGCAUAUGGCUUUUGCUACUAAGCCUUAUUGUCUUCUCUUAAUGGUGAAAAUGACACAUUGUUUAAAACUAAGGGAUCAUUAUCGCAUGUGACUAAAUGUACAAUGAAACGUUAUAGAAGGUAUAUUGAUAAUUUGAUGUUCAAACUAAUGGAAUAAGUGUGAAGGCAUGGGGGAAAAUUGUGGCCAUGGACCAGAUUAUUUCUUGGCUUUUUUUUUUUUUUUUUUCAGGAGUGGCAGGAAGUUGUUGGAGAGGAUGCUUGGAUGGUCAUUCCUCCUCUCAGCCAGUAGUGAGCCUUUUGACGCUGCUGACUGCGACUGCUGAUAAGCUGCAUAAGGCAGGAGGUCAACAAUCCGGAGACUGCUCUUAAUUAUUAAAGGAUCAACACGUCUUAAUGCACGCAUCCACCGGGGAGGCCAGAGAACUGGGGCUCGGGGAGAGAAGUCUUCUCCUUCUCUUUAAAUUGGCAAAAACAAACACACGAAGCAAUUGUCGGGGGUGGGUGUGGGGGGGGAGCUAAAGGGUUGCCCCUCUCUCCUAACUCUAAAUUUGGAACCGAGAAUAUUGGCACCUCUUCCUCUCCAGACUCAAGCUGCCCUGUCAUCGAGGAGUGGGUUUGCAGAGGUGAUCUCCACUUAACGAACUGAACCUUGACUCGGCCCCACGGCAAGGAGCGCUGGGACCCAACAGCCCAGGGCCCCAGGGGAGCUUUGCGCGACUACUCUGCGUUAGUGCCUUCUCUUGUCCUAAAUUAAGCUCCUUGACAUAUAAUUAUCCAUCCCACACACUGAACCUAUCUCCAAGGUAAAUGUUUCUGCUCGGCGAACACUGGUUCACAGGAUAAAAACAAUCCUCCUCUGUCUCCUCCCUGUCACCACCGCCAGCCCCACGGAUGAGUCCUUGCUGGGUGCCCUGGGCUCAGGGCUGGGCUGCCUGCUGCGGCGAUCACACGAAGCUACAGGUGAGCCCGAGGAAGUGGUGAUUGUGCCUUUUCUCCCUCCUUUUUUCUUUCUUUCCACAAUUGGAGGGAAAGGCGUCGGGACCGGUCAAGAGCGAUGCAGGUGGAUUUAGUACGAAAAGAAUCAGGACACCAUUCCGUUGCAAUACUUGACAACGUUGCAGAGGAAAAGGGCUUCAUAAAAGCAGAGGCCGGGUGGGUUAUCUCCAAACGCAUGUGGCUCCCGAGAUGAGGACACCAUCCCGAAAAUUUGACCGCAAUGCCUAUAAGCUGAAGUAC
rnacentral:lncRNA from 1 species